UACGUAGGGUGCGAGCGUUGUCCGGAAUUAUUGGGCGUAAAGAGCUCGUAGGCGGUUUGUUGCGUCUAUCGUGAAAACCUGCAGCUUAACUGUGGGCUUGCGGUGGAUACGGGCAGACUUGAGUUCGGUAGGGGAGACUGGAAUUCCUGGUGUAGCGGUGAAAUGCGUAGAUAUCUGGAGGAACACCGGUGGCGAAGGCGGCAUCCUGGACCAAUUCUGACGCUGAGGAGCGAAAGCCAGGGGAGCAAACGGG
rnacentral:rRNA from 1 species